rnacentral:piRNA from 1 species
UGCUGGUCUGGUGCAGCAGAUGGCGUCAC